rnacentral:rRNA from 1 species
CGGGACGGGUGAGUAACGCGUGGGUAACCUGCCUCAUACAGGGGGAUAACAGUUAGAAAUGACUGCUAAUACCGCAUAAGCGCACGGGACUGCAUGGUCCAGUGUGAAAAACCGAGGUGGUAUGAGAUGGACCCGCGUCUGAUUAGCUGGUUGGCGGGGUAACGGCCCACCAAGGCGACGAUCAGUAGCCGACCUGAGAGGGUGAACGGCCACAUUGGGACUGAGACACGGCCCAAACUCCUACGGAAGGCAGCAG